rnacentral:other from 1 species
GAUUUCCUGAGAUGUACGCAAAGCUUAUCAUAUUCAACCUACAUGACAUUAUCGGGAUUUGCAACAUAUUCAGAAAUGUCGGGCUUCAUUUAAAUUACUUAUUGUAUCAGAAGAUGACAAGCAUGAGUUGAGCUUAACCCACCUGCGAGGCGCAGGUAUUGAAUAUAUAGGUGAACGGCAUAUUGGGAACUAU